rnacentral:rRNA from 1 species
GACGAACCGUGCGAACGUUAUUCGGAAUCACUGGGCUUAAAGCGCGUGUAGGCGGGUCGCACGUCGGUCGCUGAAAUCCCCCGGCUCAACCGGGGAAGGGGCGCCGAUACGGCCGGCCUGGAGGGACGUAGGGGGGGCUGGAACUUCCGGUGGAGCGGUGAAAUGCGUUGAGAUCGGAAGGAACGCCCGUGGCGAAAGCGAGCCCCUGGACGCUACUGACGCUGAGACGCGAAAGCCAGGGGAGCGAACGGG